AGAGUUUGAUCAUGGCUCAGGGAUGAACGCUGGCGGUAUGCCUAACACAUCCAAGUCGUACGAGAGUUUUUAACUCUAGUGGCGGACGGGUGAGUAACACGUAAGAAUUUACCUUCAGGAGGGGGGAUAACAAUUGGAAACAAAUGCUAAUACCCCAUAUGCUUUCGAGUGAAAUGGAUUUAUAUUUAUCCNCCUAAAGAGAAGCUUGCGUCNGAUUACCUUGUGGUAAGGUAAAAGCUUACCAAGGCGACGAUCAGUAUCNGGUUUGAGAGGA
rnacentral:rRNA from 1 species